rnacentral:rRNA from 1 species
GACGAACGCUGGCGGCGUGCUUAACACCUGCAAGUCGAACGGAGUGGCGAACGGGUGAGUAACACGUGGGUGAUCUGCCUUUCACUUCGGGAUAAGCUUGGGAAACUGGGUCUAAUACCGGAUAUUGCAAGAUGAGCUCGCGGCCUAUAAGCUUGUUGGUGGGGUAAUGGCCUACCAAGGCGUCGACGGGUAGCCGGCCUGAGAGCGUGUACGGCCACCUUGGGACUGAGAUACGGCCCAGACUCCUACGGGAGGCAGCAGGGGGGAAUCUUGCGGUAUGGGCGGAAGCCUGAUGCAGAGACGCCGCGUGGGGGAUGAAGGCUUUCGGGUUGUAAACUCCUUUCGAAAGGGACGCGGUACCUGUAUAAGAAGCACCGGCUAACUACGUGCCAGCAGCCGCGGUAAUUC